AGUGAACGCUGGCGGUAGGCCUAACACAUGCAAGUCGAACGGCAGCACAGUAAGAGCUUGCUCUUACGGGUGGCGAGUGGCGGACGGGUGAGGAAUACAUCGGAAUCUACCUUUUCGUGGGGGAUAACGUAGGGAAACUUACGCUAAUACCGCAUACGACCUACGGGUGAAAGCAGGGGAUCUUCGGACCUUUCGCGAUUGAAUGAGCCGAUGUCGGAUUAGCUAGUUGGCGGGGUAAAGGCCCACCAAGGCGACGAUCCGUAGCUGGUCUGAGAGGAUGAUCAGCCACACUGGAACUGAGACACGGUCCAGACUCCUACGGGAGGCAGCAGUGGGGAAUAUUGGACAAUGGGCGCAAGCCUGAUCCAGCCAUACCGCGUGGGUGAAGAAGGCCUUCGGGUUGUAAAGCCCUUUUGUUGGGAAAGAAAAGCAGCAGGUUAAUACCCCGCUGUUCUGACGGUACCCAAAGAAUAAGCACCGGCUAACUUCGUG
rnacentral:rRNA from 1 species